rnacentral:rRNA from 1 species
UACGGGGGGGGCAAGCGUUGUUCGGAAUUACUGGGCGUAAAGGGCUCGUAGGCGGCCAACUAAGUCAAACGUGAAAUCCCUCGGCUUAACCGGGGAACUGCGUCUGAUACUGGAUGGCUUGAGUUUGGGAGAGGGAUGCGGAAUUCCAGGUGUAGCGGUGAAAUGCGUAGAUAUCUGGAGGAACACCGGUGGCGAAGGCGGCAUCCUGGACCAACACUGACGCUGAUGAGCGAAAGUGUGGGGAGCGAACAGG